rnacentral:lncRNA from 10 species
GUGCCCUCCAGCUCACUUCCAAGCCACCAUGGGAGUACCGCCCUUACCGACAUAGUUCAGAAUGGCUGCUCCAGCUCCAGCUUCUACACCUGCACUCCAGGAAGCAGGAGAAAGGAAAAGGUGGAGAAAUGUAGCUCACGGAUCUAUCCUAGACCCUAGAAGAGACUACUGUGCACUGGCACAUAGACACUUUGACUGCAACGAUGGAUAGGAAGUUUUACUGAUGAGAAGGAACAUUCGGACAUAGACAGGUUAAGUAAUUUUCCCAAUUGCAACAUAUUUCAGAGUUGACAAAAGUCUAAUCAUGCUUCUCUCCUUGGACUCCCUAAGUAGGUCAAAGAUAUCAUCAUCCUACAAGUUUCUGAGCUAGAAAUGUCCCUGCCAUCAUCCUUCAACUCCUUCCAUCACCAAAUGUUAUCUGAAGCAAAAGUCGGAUCAUGCCACCGAAAAUCCUCAUAUGUAUCUGAAUGCUUAUUGGAGGAAGUAUAGACAAAUGGGCAGAUAAUUCAUUCAUCACACUCUUCUCACUGCAGCCUCAGAGAUGCAAGGUCUACAGGUACAACAACUUUGCAGAGGCUAGAAAAAGAGGAUCAUCUCAGCAAAGGGCAGCGGCAGUAUACCCUGCCCACAUGAAUGUUAACAAACCACGUUGUGAGUCUCUCAUUUCAUUGGUUUUCCAUUACUCUAUUGCUUAGUCAUAAGGCCCACUCAUCCUUUGGCAGCAGUUUACAGAGUUCUCUUUCCUCCAGCAUCUCCUGGGAAGUGAUGUGAGCCACACUCUGCAGGUCAGAGUCAGAGGUGAUCAGAGCUCAAGGUCACACAGCCAGUCAGUAGUGAGUGGCAGAGUUAGAAGUACAGCCAGCUUGGGCUGUAUCUCCAGGACUCUUUUCUCUGUGUCGACCAUGUUAAAGUAACCCUUUGUGGCUAGUCAUUCAAGAUCAUUGAAAGCGCCAAGCACUAAGAAAACAUUAAAAGAAAAUACAAUGUUUCUUACAUUUCUCUCUUGCAAGGAAGGAAGAUUCAUCAAUAUUUAUUCUAAAUCAGGAUCGAGGAUAAAAGAGUUUAGCAAAAAAGAGAAUAUAGAAAAGAGAAUCCCCCAAAAUAUGUUUACAGCCCUUUAGGAUUCAUCUAUAAAGGACAUUAUAUAUUGCCUUAUUUAAGCUACCCUUCAACUUGGUGCAAGCAUAAUACUAUCAAUCCCACUAUAUAAAGGAAGAAAGCAAAGCUCUCAGAGAUGAAGUGACCAAUUCAGGGUACACAACCAAGCUAGGAUUUGAAUACGGAUGUGUAGAAAAGCUACAGGUGGAAAAUAGGAAGGCCUGGAUAAGAGUAGAGGGGUCUAGAGACCAGGUGCAGCAGUGGGGUCUGCUUAGCUCUGUGGGUGUGGAGGGGCUGUUGGUGCAUGGUCCACUCGCUGUUUCUUCCCCCGUGAUUCUGUGUGACUUCUUUAGCUCUGUGUUGCUGGUAUGGAACUCCAGACUGGAGCUCACGUUCUCUGCACUCAGCUGCCAGAGGCAGCAGUGUGCUUAAAGUGAUGAAGACCAUUGACUGGUUUCUUUGUGCUUUAGUGAGUUCCAUAUUUUUUUUUGUAUGAGGUCAGUAUCUCCUUUGUGUCAUGUUAUUACAUUCAGUGGAAUCCAUAUUCAUUAAUAUUUGAAAAAGUCAGAGACCUCAAUUAGGCAAGGAAACCCUGGGUCCAGCUGACAAAUGAGAUUGACCCU